rnacentral:rRNA from 1 species
AGCAGUAGCCACGGUAAUACGGAGGGAGCUAGCGUUGUUCGGAAUUACUGGGCGUAAAGCGCGCGUGGGCGGUUACUCAAGUCAGAGGUGAAAGCCCGGGGCUCAACCCCGGAACUGCCUUUGAAACUAGGUGACUAGAAUCUUGGAGAGGUCAGUGGAAUUCCGAGUGUAGAGGUGAAAUUCGUAGAUAUUCGGAAGAACACCAGUGGCGAAGGCGACUGACUGGACAAGUAUUGACGCUGAGGUGCGAAAGCGUGGGGAGCAAACAGGAUUAGAUACCCCAGUAGUCCCUGUCUCUUAUAC